CUCCACCUCCCCAAGCCCAAAUGGCCAUGCAGGUCGAACACCAGCUCUGAAGUGGGCAGGGCCCCCAGGGAGGACAGCCAUGGGAGCUCAGGCAGCGUCCCCACCGGCACCUGCCUCUGUGCAGCAGCAGUCAGGGCCCUCGGCAAAAAGCUGAACUCGCAGUGCGGUUACGAGGGCAAAUAUGCUCCUUGAGGGCCAGCGAAACUCAGCGGCCCAAGGAAGGCUACUGAUGUGCAUUUCAUAGCCGGCUGCGAAUUUAGGAAAACAGACUUUGCUUCUCGUCACUCAGCCCACGUGACCAGGUUCAGACACAGUCUGCAGCCGCCCGCCUCGCACCCCCACUCUGCGGUGCGGUAUGUGGGGAGCUCAGGGCACAGCAGGCCAGGCCUCCCCGUGGACGUCCAGGAACCAGAACCAAACUGCCCAGGGCCCCAGAGGGGAAGAUGUCUUAGCAGACGGACAGCCGAGGCUCACACAGCAAGCUCUGGCAGCCUGUCGGUCCCAGGAGAGAGGGGCAGAUGGCAGACGGGAAAAGAAGCCACCUGCUGGGAUGCUGAGACUCGCUCGCAGGAGCUUUCGGAACUGGCUAAGGUCACAGCUGGAACCACUGUGGCCAGUUGGAGUCUGCACAGCCCGAGUUUCCACCCCGGGGUCCCAGUAACUCUGCCCAAAUGUGCAGAGACCCAUGAGGAGACACAACUUUCCAGAACCCCCUUUUCUUCCACCAGCCACUUACUCAUCCAAGAACCCACCCCUGAACCUUCCCUAAUAGAAACACUGCAUUAAAGCAGCGCGGGGAGACAGACGUGAACUGUGCCCCUGUCUCCUUGUGGGUUGGCCUAGAAUAAAAGCUUUUCUUUUCUCAAAAA